GGGGUAGAUGUGGGAGUCACUGCAGGCUUGGCCCUGUUCAACAGGGUGGGGACCCUGCCCUCCCACCACCUGCCUCCUACCACAGAACAGGGCACAAGGGUGGCACAAGGGGAAAAAGGAGAAGGCACCAUCACUCCUGAUUCCCAGCGAAUAGGGGGAAAAGGCAUACUCACUCCUGAUUCCUGGCAGCUUCUUCCCUUGAAGGUCCACUUUCCUCCUGAGGACUCGAGGCCCCUUCAAAUUGCCCCUUAGAAUGUUUCUAGUAAUAGUAGUUGCCUCUGGGGACGGGUGUCCAAGGGCUAGGGGUCAGGAGUAGGAGGGCUCAGAGAACGAUUUGUCAUGUCCACACUCAACCUGUUUGAAUUUUUUUUUUUAUUUUUUUGGAGACAGAGUCUCACUCUGUCGCCCAGUCUAAGUGCUGUGGUGCCAUCACAGCUCGCUGCAGCCUCAACCUCCCAGGCUCAAGUGAUCCUCUUGCAUCCGCCUCCUGAGUAGCUGGGACCACAGGUGUGCGCCACCACACCCAGCUAAUUUUUGAGUUUUUGAUAGAGACAGUUUCGCCACGUUGCCCAGGCCAGUUCAAGCAAUCCUCCUGCCUGAGCCUCCCAAAUUGUUGGGACUACAGGCAUGAACCACCACACCCAGCUGUGUUUGAAAUUUUUUACCAUGUGUCUGGAUUACUUUAAAAGAAGGUGG
rnacentral:lncRNA from 10 species